CCCGGGCCUUGUACACACCGCCCGUCAAGCCACGAAAGUCGGUAGCACCCGAAGUCGGCACGCCAACCGUAAGGAGGCAGCCGCCUAAGGUGAGGCCGGUGAUUGGGGCU
rnacentral:rRNA from 1 species